rnacentral:rRNA from 1 species
GUGGGGAAUUUUGGACAAUGGGCGAAAGCCUGAUCCAGCAAUGCCGCGUGCAGGAUGAAGGCCCUCGGGUUGUAAACUGCUUUUGUACGGAACGAAAAGCCUGGGGCUAAUAUCCCCGGGUCAUGACGGUACCGUAAGAAUAAGCACCGGCUAACUACGUGCCAGCAGUCGCGGUAAUACGUAGGGUGCAAGCGUUAAUCGGAAUUACUGGGCGUAAAGUGUGCGCAGGCGGUUUUGUAAGACAGUGGUGAAAUCCCCGGGCUCAACCUGGGAACUGCCAUUGUGACUGCAAGGCUAGAGGGCGGCAGAGGGGGAUGGAAUUCCGCGUGUAGCAGUGAAAUGCGUAGAUAUGCGGAGGAACACCGAUGGCGAAGGCAAUCCCCUGGGCCUGCACUGACGCUCAUGCACGAAAGCGUGGGGAGCAAACAGGAUUAGAAACCCUGGUAGUCC